UCCCUGGUGGUCCAGUGGGCAAGACUGUGCACUGCCAAUGCAGGGGGCCCAGGUUCGAUCCUUGGUCAGGGAA